rnacentral:rRNA from 1 species
GACGUAGGGCGCGAGCGUUGUCCGGAUUUAUUGGGCGUAAAGGGUGCGUAGGCGGUCCUAUAAGUAUGGUGUGAAAUCUCCCGGCUUAACUGGGAGGGUGCGCUAUAGACUGUGGGACUAGAGUGUGGGAGAGGAAAGUGGAAUUCCUGGUGUAGCGGUGAAAUGCGUAGAUAUCAGGAGGAACACCGGUGGUGUAAACGGCUUUCUGGACCAUAACUGACGCUGAGGCACGAAAGCGUGGGUAGCAAACAGG